rnacentral:rRNA from 1 species
GGAUUAGAUACCCUGGUAGUCCACGCCGUAAACGAUGAGAACUAGCUGUCGGAAUGCUUUGACAUUUUGGUAGCGCAGCUAACGCGUUAAGUUCUCCGCCUGAGGAGUACGGCCGCAAGGUUAAAACUUAAAGAAAUUGACGGGGGCCCGCACAAGCGGUGGAGCAUGUGGUUUAAUUCGAUGCAACGCGAAAAACCUUACCUACCCUUGACAUCCUUGGAAGUACUUAGAGAUAGGUACGUGCCUUAACGGGAGCCGAGAGACAGGUGCUGCAUGGCUGUCGUCAGCUCGUGUUG